rnacentral:lncRNA from 1 species
AUGGAAUCUUGUCUCACAUUUAGAUAUUUCAUCCAUUUUGAGUUUAUCUUUGUGUAUGGUGAAAGAGAGUGGUCUAGUUUCAUUCUUCUGCAUGUGGAUGUAUCUUGCAAGAAGUUACUGUGGCUGAGUUCAAAAAGGGUGUUGCCUGGGUUCUCCUCUAGGAUUUUGAUGGAAUCUUGUCUCACAUUUAGAUCUUUCAUCCAUUUUGAGUUUAUCUUUGUGUAUGGUGCAAGAGAGUGGUCUAGUUUCAUUCUUCUGCAUGUGGAUGUCCAAAAUUUUCCCAGCACCAUUUAUUGAAGAGACUGUCCUUUUUUCCAGUGGAUAGUAUUUCCAGCUUUGUCGAAUAGUAGUUGACCAUAAAGUUCAGGGUCCACUUCUGGAUUCUCUAUUCUGUUCCAUUGAUCUAUGUGUCUGUGUUUGUGCCAGUAGCACACUGUCUUGAUGACCACAGCUUUGUAGUACAACCUGAAAUCUGGCAUUGUGAUGCCCCCAGAUAUGGUUUUCUUUUUUAAAAUUCCCCUAGCUAUUCAGGGUCUUUUCUGAUUCCACACAAAUCUUAAAAUAAUAUGUUCUAACUCUCUGAAGAAAGUCCAUGGUAUUUUGAUAGGGAUUGCAUUAAACGUAUAAAUUGCCCUGGGUAACAUUGACAUUUUCACAAUAUUAAUUCUGCCAAUCCCUGAGCAUGGAAUAUUUUUCCAUCUCUUUGUGUCUUCCUCAAUUUCUUUCAGAAGUGUUCUAUAGUUUUUAGGGUAUAGAUCCUUUACAUCUUUGGUUAGGUUUAUUUCUAGGUAUCUCAGGCUUUUGGGUGCAAUUGUCAAUGGGAUUGACUCCUUAAUUUCUCUUUCUUCAGUCCCAUUGUUAGUGUAUAGAAAUGCCACUGAUUUCUGGGCAUUGAUUUUGUAUCCUGCCACGCUACCGAAUUGCUGUAUGAGUUCUAGCAAUCUUGGGGUGGAAACUUUUGGGUUUUCUAUGUAGAGUAUCAUGUCAUCGGCGAAGAGGGAGACUUUGACUUCUUCGAAUUUGAAUGCCAAUUUGAAUGCCUUUAAUGUCUUUUUGUUGCCUGAUUGCUGAGGCUAGGACUUCCAGUACUAUGUUGAAUAGCAGUGGUGGGAGUGGACAUCCCUGUCUUGUUCCUGAUCUUAGGGGAAAGGCUCCCAGUGCUUCCCCAUUGAGAAUGAUAUUUGCUGUGGGCUUUUCGUAGAUGGCUGUUAAGAUGUUGAAGAAUGUUCCCUCUAUCCCUACACUCUGACGGGUUUUGAUCAGGAAUGGAUGCUGUAUUUUGUCAAAUGCUAUCUCUGCAUCUAUUGAGAGGAUCAUAUGGUUCUUGUUUUUUCUCUUGCUGAUAUGAUGAAUCACAUUGAUUGUUUUAUGAGUGUUGAACCAGCCUUGCGUCCCGGGGAUAAAUCCUACUUGGUCAUGGUGAAUAAUCUUCUUAAUGUACUGUUGAAUCCUAUUGGCUAGUAUCUUGCUGAGAAGGUUUGCAUCCAUGUUCAUCAGGGAUAUUGGUCUAUAAUUCUACUUUUUGGUGGGGUCUUUGUCUGUUUUGGAAUUAAGGUGAUGCUGGCCUCAUAGAACGAGUUUGGAAGUACUCCAUCUCUUUCUAUGUUUCCAAAUAGCUUUAGUAGAAUAGGUAUGGUUUCUUCUUUAUUCGUUUGAUAGAAUUCCCCUUGGAAGCCAUCUGGCCCUGGACUUUUGUGUCUUGGGAGGUUUUUGAUGACUGCUUCAAUUUCCUCCCUGGUUAUUGGCCUGUUCAGGUUUUCUAUUUCUUCCAGUUCCAAUAUGGUAGUUUGUGGUUUUCUAGAAAUGCUUCCAUUUCUUCUAGACUGCCUAAUUUGUUGGCGUAUAGCUGUUCAUAAUAUGUUUUUAAAAUAUUUUGUAUUUCCUUGGUGUUGGUAGUGAUCUCUCCUUUCUCAUUUAUGAUUUUAUUAAUUUGAGUCUUCUCUCUCUUCUUUUUAAUAAGGCUGGCUAAUGGUUUAUCUAUCUUAUUAAUUUUUUCAAAGAACCAACUCCUGGUUCUGUUGAUCUGUUCCACAGUUCUUCUGGUCUCGAUUUCGUUGAGUUCUGCUCAAAUCUUAAUUAACUCUCUUCUUCUGCUGGGUGUCGGAUCUAUUUGCUGUUUUUUCUCUAGCUCUUUUAUGUGUAAGGUUAGCUUUUGUAUUUGAGUUCUUUCCAGUUUUUGAAUGGAUGCUUGUAUUGCGAUGUAUUUCCCCCUUAGGACUGCUUUGGCUGCAUCCCAAAGAUUUUGAAUGGUUGUAUCUUCAUUCUCAUUAGUUUCCAUGAAUCUUUUUAAUUCUUCUGUAAUUUCCUGGUUGACCCUUUCAUCUUUUGUCAGGAUGGUCCUUAACCUCCACGUGUUUGAGGUCCUUCCAAACUUCUUGUUGUGAUUUAGUUCUAAUUUCAAGGCAUUAUGGUCUGAGAAUAUGCAGGGGAUGAUCCCAAUCUUUUGGU